rnacentral:rRNA from 1 species
AGACCACCAGCUAAGGUCCCAAAAUAUAUGUUAAGUGGAAAAGGAUGUGGCGUUGCCCAGACAACUAGGAUGUUGGCUUAGAAGCAGCCAUCAUUUAAAGAGUGCGUAAUAGCUCACUAGUCGAGUGACACUGCGCCGAAAAUGUACCGGGGCUAAACAUAUUACCGAAGCUGUGGAUUGUCCUUUGGACAAUGGUAGGAGAGCGUUCUAAGGGCGUUGAAGCAUGAUCGUAAGGACAUGUGGAGCGCUUAGAAGUGAGAAUGCCGGUGUGAGUAGCGAAAGACGGGUGAGAAUCCCGUCCACCGAUUGACUAAGGUUUCCAGAGGAAGGCUCGUCCGCUCUGGGUUAGUCGGGUCCUAAGCUGAGGCCGACAGGCGUAGGCGAUGGAUAACAGGUUGAUAUUCCUGUACCACCUAUAAUCGUUUUAAUCGAUGGGGGGACGCAGUAGGAUAGGCGAAGCGUGCGAUUGGAUUGCACGUCUAAGCAGUAAGGCUGAGUAUUAGGCAAAUCCGGUACUCGUUAAGGCUGAGCUGUGAUGGGGAGAAGACAUUGUGUCUUCGAGUCGUUGAUUUCACACUGCCGAGAAAAGCCUCUAGAUAGAAAAUAGGUGCCCGUACCGCAAACCGACACAGGUAGUCAAGAUGAGAAUUCUAAGGUGAGCGAGCGAACUCUCGUUAAGGAACUCGGCAAAAUGACCCCGUAACUUCGGGAGAAGGGGUGCUCUUUAGGGUUAACGCCCAGAAGAGCCGCAGUGAAUAGGCCCAAGCGACUGUUUAUCAAAAACACAGGUCUCUGCUAAACCGUAAGGUGAUGUAUAGGGGCUGACGCCUGCCCGGUGCUGGAAGGUUAAGAGGAGUGGUUAGCUUCUGCGAAGCUACGAAUCGAAGCCCCAGUAAACGGCGGCCGUAACUAUAACGGUCCUAAGGUAGCGAAAUUCCUUGUCGGGUAAGUUCCGACCCGCACGAAAGGCGUAACGAUUUGGGCACUGUCUCAACGAGAGACUCGGUGAAAUCAUAGUACCUGUGAAGAUGCAGGUUACCCGCGACAGGACGGAAAGACCCCGUGGAGCUUUACUGUAGCCUGAUAUUGAAAUUCGGCACAGCUUGUACAGGAUAGGUAGGAGCCUUUGAAACGUGAGCGCUAGCUUACGUGGAGGCGCUGGUGGGAUACUACCCUAGCUGUGUUGGCUUUCUAACCCGCACCACUUAUCGUGGUGGGAGACAGUGUCAGGCGGGCAGUUUGACUGGGGCGGUCGCCUCCUAAAAGGUAACGGAGGCGCUCAAAGGUUUCCUCAGAAUGGUUGGAAAUCAUUCAUAGAGUGUAAAGGCAUAAGGGAGCUUGACUGCGAGACCUACAAGUCGAGCAGGGUCGAAAGACGGACUUAGUGAUCCGGUGGUUCCGCAUGGAAGGGCCAUCGCUCAACGGAUAAAAGCUACCCCGGGGAUAACAGGCUUAUCUCCCCCAAGAGUUCACAUCGACGGGGAGGUUUGGCACCUCGAUGUCGGCUCAUCGCAUCCUGGGGCUGUAGUCGGUCCCAAGGGUUGGGCUGUUCGCCCAUUAAAGCGGUACGCGAGCUGGGUUCAGAACGUCGUGAGACAGUUCGGUCCCUAUCCGUCGUGGGCGUAGGAAAUUUGAGAGGAGCUGUCCUUAGUACGAGAGGACCGGGAUGGACAUACCUCUGGUGUACCAGUUGUCGUGCCAACGGCAU